rnacentral:rRNA from 1 species
UACGUAGGUGACAAGCGUUGUCCGGAUUUACUGGGCGUAAAGAGCGCGCAGGCGGUCGAUCAAGUCGAGUGUGAAAGCCCCCGGCUCAACUGGGGAGGGUCAUUCGAUACUGAUCGACUCGAAGGCAGGAGAGGGUAGUGGAAUUCCCGGUGUAGUGGUGAAAUGCGUAGAUAUCUGGAGGAACACCGGUGGCGAAGGCGGCAUCCUGGACCAACACUGACACUGAUGAGCGAAAGCCAGGGGAGCAAACGGG